rnacentral:rRNA from 1 species
GCGGAGAGGAAACACCCGUUCCCAUCCCGAACACGGAAGUUAAGCUCUCCAGCGCCGAUGGUAGUUGGGGCCAGCGCCCCUGCAAGAGUAGGUCGUCGCUAGGC